AGAACGAACGCUGGCGGCAUGCCUAAUACAUGCAAGUCGAACGAACUCUUCGGAGUUAGUGGCGCACGGGUGCGUAACGCGUGGGAAUCUGCCCCUUGGUUCGGAAUAACAGUUGGAAACGACUGCUAAUACCGGAUGAUGACGAAAGUCCAAAGAUUUAUCGCCAAGGGAUGAGCCCGCGUAGGAUUAGCUAGUUGGUGAGGUAAGCUCACCAGGGCAACGAUCCUUAGCGUGUCUGAGAGGAUGAUCAGCCACACGUGGGACUGAGACGACGGCCCUAGACCUCCGUACGGGAGCAGCAGGUAGGGAAUUACGUGGACAAGUGGGCGAAAGCCGUAGAUCCGAGC
rnacentral:rRNA from 1 species